CCAUGUGUGCUUGUUGAUUUCCUUCCUUGGUUUCUUGUGUGCUUAUUUGUUUCCUUCCUUGGUUCCAUGUGUGCUUGUUGAUUUCUUUCCUUGGUUUCUUGUGUGCUUGUUUGUUUCCUUCCUUGGUUCCAUGUGUGCUUGUUUGUUUCCUUCCUUGGUUCCAUGUGUGCUUGUUGAUUUCUUUCCUAGGUUUCUUGUGUGCUUGUUUGUUUAUUUCCUUGGUUCCAUGCGUGCUUGAUUAUUUUUUUCCUAGGUUUCUUGUGUGCUUGUUUGUUUUUUUAAUUUCUUCCAUGGUUACUUGAUUUGUUGUUACUUCUUUGCUUUCUUCCUUUGUUCCAUGCAUGCUUGUGUGUUUCAUUCUCUGUUUCCUUGCGUGCCUGUUUAACUUCUUGCUUAGUUGUUUGGUUCUUGCUUGCUUCCUUGUUUUCUUCUUUCAAUCCUUACUAGCCUCUUGCUUCCUUGCUUGUUUUCUCACUUGCUCCUUUAUUACAUGCUUACUUAAUUUCCUUAUCUACUGAACUUGUUUGACCUUUUUAUCAUUUUCUUAAUCUUCUUACUUACUCACUUACUCAAAACUAUCUCUCUAGCUU
rnacentral:sRNA from 1 species